CAGAUACUAAAUGUUAAGUAAACAUUAAAGGCAAGGUAAAGAGUACUUACUACGUGGCAAUUUUAUAAACUAUUAUAAUGAGUUCCACAAAGUAAUUUAUGGGGUGCCAGAAGGAACCUG